UUUUGCCAAAGUUAAGCUCAGCAUGUGAUUUAAUCCCAGGGCAAUAAGAAACAAAGCAGGUUUAUGGAACCAUGCUCCCAGGAGUUCUUCAGCUGGUGCAUUCCCCAGGGCACCACAACGUGCAGCUGGAACAGCAAAAACCUGGGAUCGAAAGCUGCCCUGACUUUUAUUGGGAAGUCUCCAGCUGUCUAGUGAAGAAGUCAGAGCUCCAGCUGUUUCCUCCACAUCUGGGCUCUGGUGCUGCUAGCUGCUGUUGGUGAGGUCCCAGCUGGAUUUUCAGAAGUGAGUUCUGCCUUAGCAAAGCCCUUCUUGGCGCAAACUUCUCGGAUGCAUCGAUCAAAGAGACUGGGGUGGCCACAACCUUUCCAGAGUCCCAAAGGAGAAAUAUUAAAUGACGUGAUGUUCCUGUUACACAAGGUGGAGGCAGGAAUGGAGGUGGAGCAGAGCAGCACUCAGAGAAGGAAAAGGAGCUGUGGCCAAAGCCUUGAAGAAAGUCGAGGGGAUGUUCUGCUCCGCUCCCAUUACGAGCUCUACCUCUUCACAUGGUGUUUGUAAACACUGCAGAUUCCCUGCUUCCCUUGGCCAGCACUUUCCUCCCCGAAUUGGAUCGUCUGAAAUCAGCCCUUGCA